rnacentral:misc_RNA from 1 species
UUAAGUUCAGCGGGUAUUCCUACCUGAUCCGAGGUCAACGUUCAGAAAGUCGGGGGUUUUACGGCGUGGCCGCGCCGCGCUCCGCAUGCGAGUGUUGCUACUACGCAGGGGAGGCUGCAGCGAGACCGCCACUGUAUUUGGGGGACGGCGCCGCGCGAGGCGGGCCGAUCCCCAACACCAGCGCCGCACCGCAAGCGGUG